rnacentral:rRNA from 1 species
AUUGAACGCUGGCGGCAGGCCUAACACAUGCAAGUCGAGCGCGCGGCGGACGGGGGAGUAUUAUAUGGGGGCUGCCCGAUAGAGGGGGAUAACUACUGGGGACGCUAUCUAAUACCGCAUAUUAUCGGAUAACCCAUAUGGGAUUAGCUAGUAGGUGAGGUAAUGGCUCACUAAGGCGACGAUCCCUAGCUGGUCUGAGAGGAGGAUCAGCCACACUGGGACUGAGACACGGCCCAGACUCCUACGGAGGCAGCAGUGGGGAAUAUUGCACAAUGGGCGCAAGCCUGAUGCAGCCAUGCCGCGUGUAUGAAGAAGGCCCUAGGGUUGUAAAGUACUUUCAGUGGGGAGGCGUUACCGACAGAAGAAGCACCGGCUAACUCCGUGCCAGCAGCCGCGGUAAUAC